rnacentral:rRNA from 1 species
ACUCUCAGCAACGGAUAUCUUGGCUCUUGCAACGAUGAAGAACGCAGCGAAAUGCGAUACGUAGUGUGAAUUGCAGAAUUCCCGCGAAUCAUCGAGUCUUUGAACGCAAGUUGCGCCCGAGGCUUGUCCGAGGGCAUUUCCGCUAGAGGGGUCACCGCGCCCC